AGUAAUCUGCCCCUAAGUCUGGAAUAACCUUGCCAACGCGGGGAUAAUACCGGAUGUGAUCACGAGGUCGCAUGGCCAUGUGAUUAAAGAUGACCUCUACCUGUAAGUUAUCGCUUGGGGAUGAGCUUGCGCACCAUUAGCUUGUUGGUGAGGUAACGGCUCACCAAGGCUGCGAUGGUUAGCCGGCCUGAGAGGGUGACCGGCCACAUUGGGACUGAGAUACGGCCCAGACUCCUACGGGAGGCAGCAGUAGGGAAUUUUGCGCAAUGGGCGAAAGCCUGACGCA
rnacentral:rRNA from 1 species